rnacentral:rRNA from 1 species
UACAGAGGGUGCGAGCGUUAAUCGGAAUUACUGGGCGUAAAGCGCGCGUAGGCGGCUUUGCAAGUCGAGUGUGAAAUCCCCAGGCUCAACCCUGGAACUGCAUUCGAUACUGCCUGGCUAGGGUACUGGAGAGGAGACUGGAAUUACGGUGUAGCAGUGAAAUGCGUAGAUAUCGUAAGGAAGACCAGUGGCGAAGGCGAGUCUCUGGACAGUUACCGACGCUGAGGCACGAAGGUCAGGGGAGCAACGGG